GAUGAAGAACGUAGCGAAAUGCGAUAAGUAAUGUGAAUUGCAGAAUUCAGUGAAUCAUCGAAUCUUUGAACGCACAUUGCGCCCGCCAGUAUUCUGGCGGGCAUGCCUGUUCGAGCGUCAUUUCAACCCUCAGGCCCCCAGUGCCUGGUGUUGGGGAUCGGCCCAGCCUUCCUGUAAGGCCGCCGGCCCCGAAAUCUAGUGGCGGUCUCGCUGUAGUCCUCCUCUGCGUAGUAGCACAACCUCGCAGUUGGAACGCGGCGGUGGCCAUGCCGUUAAGCACCCCACUUCUGAAAGUUGACCUCGGAUCAGGUAGGAAUACCCGCUGAACUUAAGCAUACAAUAAGCGGAGGA
rnacentral:misc_RNA from 1 species